UACGAAGGGGGCGAGCGUUGUUCGGAUUUACUGGGCGUAAAGGGCGCGCAGGCGGCUUAUUUUGUCAGGCGUGAAAGCCCCGGGCUUAACCUGGGCACUGCGUUUGAUACGGAUGGGCUAGAGUUCGGGAGAGGAGAGUGGAAUUCCCAGUGUAGAGGUGAAAUUCGUAGAUAAUUGGGAAGAACACCGGUGGCGAAGGCGGCUACGC
rnacentral:rRNA from 1 species